CAUAAUUUUACAUUUUCAAUCAAAUAUUUACAUAAAAUUUAUCAAAUUGAAGUGUUCUCAUCGUGAUUUUUUAUAUGCACAUUAAAUAUUUUAUAAUUAGUCGAAUUUCAUAGUUUUAGAAAGAAUAAAAUAAAAUAAAAUAAAAUAAAUACGAAGAAAAAGAAAAAGAAAACGAAAAUAAAAAAAUAUCUAUAAUUCAUAAAUAUAUUACGUAUUUACGUCCC
rnacentral:lncRNA from 1 species